rnacentral:lncRNA from 1 species
UGCCCGCUAGACAUGUACACCUUACAAUCAUUCCAUACAACAAAUAUAGUAGACCUAUUGCAUAUAGUAUGAAAAAAAACCAGACCAAAACACAAAAAUUUAACUACAACCACUGAACCAUGAAAAUGAGGUCAAGGUCACAUGACAUCUGCCCGCUAGACAUGUACACCUUACAAUCAUUCCAUGUAACAAAUAUAGUAGACCUAUUGCAUAUAGUACAAAAAAACAGACCAAAACACAAAAAUUUACCUAUAACCACUGAACCAUGAAAAUGAGGUCAAGGUCAGAUGACACCUGCCAGUUGGACAUGUACACCUUACAGUCCUUCCAUACACCGAAUAUACUAGCCCUAUUGCUUAUAGUAUCU